AGCUGAAAGAGUUAAAUUGUGUGGAGCUUCUGCUAACUUGCUUUUCUGUAACUGCUCUGCUCCUUUGCGGGUUGAACCUUGAGAAGUAACACCUGGACGAUAAUAUAUGGCUAACUGAAAAAUGUAAACUGUGCAGAGCAUACCAGGAACUGUAACUAUGUAAAGAGGUCACUGUGAUUGUGGCUUUGUGACAAGCCUUUGUCUAAAAAAAAAGUAUUAAAACCAUAUGCUCGCCUUGAUCAGGGCUCUCAGCCUCUGCCUGAUCUUCGGGUAUGUUGCAGAGCCCCAGCAUGCUGGAACAAUAAAGCCCGUGCUGUUGCAGAAAGAGCUGCCUUGGUGUCGUUCCUCUGCGCCUCCCUAGAUUGAGGUCUUCUCGA